rnacentral:rRNA from 1 species
UAUUGGGUUAAAGGGAGCGUUAGGCCGGAGAUUAAGCGUGUUGUGAAAUGUAGAUGCUCAACAUCUGCACUGCAGCGCGAACUGGUUUCCUUGAGUACGCACAAAGUGGGCGGAAUUCGUGGUGUAGCGGUGAAAUGCUUAGAUAUCACGAAGAACUCCGAUUGCGAAGGCAGCUCACUGGAGCGCAACUGACGCUGAAGCUCGAAAGUGCGGGUAUCGA